CGCGGCCUAUCAGCUUGUUGGUGAGGUAACGGCCUACCAAGGCUAUGACGGGUAGCAGGCCUGAGAGGGUGGUCUGUCACACUGGGACUGAGACACUGCCCAGACUCCUACGGGAGGCUGCAGUCGAGAAUCUUCCGCAAUGGGCGAAAGCCUGACGGAGCGACGCCGCGUGGAGGACGAAGGCCCUCGGGUUGUAAACUCCUGUCACAGGUGAUGAAUGAGCGUACGUUAAUAGCGUGCGAAUUGACGUAAGCCUGAGAGGAAGCACCGGCUAACUCCGUGCCAGCAGCCGCGGCAAUACGGAGGGUGCAAACGUUGUUCGGAAUUACUGGGCAUAAAGAGCUCGUAGGCGGCUGUGUAAGUGUGAAGUGAAAUCCCACGGCUCACCCGUGGAACUGCUUUGCAGGCUGCACGGCUAGAGGAUGGUAGGGGAGAGCGGAACUCCUGGUGGAGCGGUGAAAUGCGUAGAUAUCAGGAGGAACACCGGUGGCGAAGGCGGCUCUCUGGUCCACCCCUGACGCUGAGGAGCGAAAGCUAGGGUAGCGAACGGGAUUAGAUACCCUGGUAGUCCACGCCGUAAACGUUGGGUGCUAGGUGUCGCGGGUAUUGACCCCUGCGGUGCCGGCGUUAACGCAUUUAGCACCCCGCCUGGGGAGUACGG
rnacentral:rRNA from 1 species